rnacentral:rRNA from 1 species
UAAUUUACUCUAGUUAAAAUUGAAAGGUUAAAAAUUAUAUUAGGUAAAUCAUUAUAAGAUUAGAUGUUUGAGUAUAGGGUAUUGAAAAGAUUCAUAAAACAAAAGAGAAAGUACUGUGAAGGAAAGAUGAAAUAUUUGAAAAAUAAAUUAUUUAAAAGUAGAUUAAAUAUCGUACCUUGUGUAUCAGGGUUUAUCAAAUAAUAUAGGGAACUUUCUUACUUCCCGAUUUGAAGAGGGCUAAAACAAUAAUUUAGUUAAAGUGACAAAUUUAUUAAUAAUAUUGUUUUAGUAAUGAAACAUUAAUCGAUUUUCAAGGUUUCUGGUUCCUUAAGAAAUGAAUUUAAUUCAGAUAGUUUAAGUAGAAGUGAUUUAUAUAAAUCUUUUUCUUUUAUGUUAUUAAUAACACGAGGGAUAAGCUUCGUGUUAUCUCUAUAAUAAAAUGAUUUGAGGGGAUAAGUAGGCUUGAAAGCAGCCAUCAAAUAAAGAACGUUAUAGUCUAUCCCCAGUUGUUUGAAUUUUUUAGUAUUUAGUUUAUUCAUUAAGGCAUAACUUUGAAUUUUCUUAAGUUAGGGAUAAUGAUAGAAUUAUUAUAAGUUUAAAUGUAAGUAUUUUAUAUAAGUUAGGUCUUAAUAAGGAACUCGGCAAAUUAGCGCUCGCCUGUUUAUCAAAAACAUCGCCUUUUGCAAAAUAUAGAAGGUCUAGCCUGCCCACUGAAUUAUUAAAGGGCCGCGGUAUUUUGACCGUGCAAAGGUAGCAUAAUCAUUAGUCUUCUAAUUAAAGGCUGGUAUGAAUGGUUGGACGAGGUGUUAACUGUCUCAUUAAGAUUAAAUUAGAAUUUAACUUUUUAGUCAAAAGGCUAAAAUAAGAUUGGAGGACGAGAAGACCCUAUAGAGCUUGAUAUUUGAAAAGUCUAGUCUUUUUAGAUGAAUUUUGACUUGACCUUAAAAAUAUUUCGUUGGGGUGACGGGGAGAUAAAAUAAACUCUUUCUAAAAUUUUACAUUGAUGUAUGAUUAAUUGAUCCAUUAAUAGUGAUUAUAAGACUAAGUUACCUUAGGGAUAACAGCGUAAUCUUUUUCAAGAGUUCUAAUCGACAAAAAGGGUUGCGACCUCGAUGUUGGAUUAAGGGUUAUUUUUGGGUGUAGAAGUUCAAAGUUUGGGUCUGUUCGACCCUUGAAUCCUUACAUGAUCUGAGUUCAGACCGGCGUAAGCCAGGUCGGUUUCUAUCCUCAAUUAGUUAAAAUAUUUUAGUACGAAAGGACCAAAUAUUUAAGAUAAUCUUUAAUUUUAGAAUACUAUUA